rnacentral:rRNA from 1 species
UACGUAGGUGACCAGCGUUGUCCGGAUUUACUGGGCGUAAAGAGCGCGCAGGCGGUCGUUCAAGUCGAGUGUGAAAGCCCCCGGCUCAACUGGGGAGGGUCACUCGAUACUGAUCGACUUGAAGGCAGGAGAGGGAAGCGGAAUUCCCGGUGUAGUGGUGAAAUGCGUAGAUAUCGGGAGGAACACCAGUGGCGAAGGCGGGUUGCUGGGCUGAUACUGACGCUGAGGCGCGAAAGCCAGGGGAGCGAACGGG